AGAGUUACAUCCAACAGCCUCGGUAUCACAGAACACCAGUUCAGGGGCUUGAAGCGUGGUGCUGUGUCCGUCAUCAACAGCUCAGCCUUAUCAAUCUCUGCUUCAAGUAGACCAAUUUCAAGCUCAUUCGAUCUCUACUGCAGUCUAUACACCACCAUUGAAGAGCUCAAUCGUGUUUGGCCAGGUCAAACUCAUCCAAAAGGCAUACAUGGCACUUAAUGAUAUAAAUGCUGCUGUCGAAAGUUUCAAGAAGGCAUUGGAAUUGGAGCCAAAUGAUGCUGGAAUAAAAAAGGAGCUGGCUGCUGCAAAGAAGAAGAUUUCGGAUAGACGAGAUCUAGAGAGAAGCAUAUUCUAAGAUGUUCCAAUAGCAGUUGGUGGUUGCAUGGCUACCAUUGUCUCUUAGGAACAAUAUACAGUUAGUUACUGUGCUGAUUCAAUGUUGGAUUGAGUGAACUUGUUCAGGCUUUUUCACACAUUCAGGUUUUCAUUUGAGGGUGAAGAACAUGAGCAUAUAUCCAAAACAACUGUACAAAUUUCAGGCUAGGGCCAAAUUUUAACAACUAGAUUAAUCUAUUUUUGUUUAUUUAUUUCUGAGUUGUUGUAGCUACCUGAUCCAAUGUCCAUAUUUCUCAAGGAACAAAUACGUGUCUGGAGAGCAUUAAAUGGAGAUAUUUGCUUGACUAACCUUUUUUUUUUCUUUUUUUUUUCACUAUUGGUUUUCGGUGUAUUGUCUUAAAAUUAUAUGGGUCCAUGAUAAUAACAUGUGCUGUAUUGGCUUUUACACUCAAGGGUUACUUUCUCUUGAGUAUUCAUGAUAAUAACAUGAUAAUAAUAUUUUAUUUGCUACUAA